rnacentral:misc_RNA from 1 species
AUUAUUAUUAUUAUUUCGAUAACACUUUCCUUACAUACAUAAGAUGUUUGUAAAAUAAUAGAAUAGGCCCAAAAAUCAGGCCCAUUCAACAGUGCACAAAGGUGUGUGGAUGUGAGAUGGUUUGGGACGUCAAGUCCCAGGUUAUUUCACUAAUGAUCCUUCCGCAGGUUCACCUACGGAAA